rnacentral:rRNA from 1 species
GACGAACGCUGGCGGCGUGCUUAACACAUGCAAGUCGAACGGAAAGGCCCUGCUUGCAGGGUCCUCGAGUGGCGAACGGGUGAGUAGCACGUGGGUGAUCUGCCCUGCACUUCGGGAUAAGCCUGGGAAACUGGGUCUAAUACCGGAUAGGAGCCAUUUUUAGUGUGAUGGUUGGAAAGUUUUUUCGGUGUAGGAUGAGCUCGCGGCCUAUCAGCUUGUUGGUGGGGUAAUGGCCUACCAAGGCGGCGACGGGUAGCCGGCCUGAGAGGGUGGACGGCCACAUUGGGACUGAGAUACGGCCCAGACUCCUACGGGAGGCAGCAGUGGGGAAGAUUGCACAAUGGGCGCAAGCCUGAUGCAGCGACGCCGCGUGGGGGAUGACGGCCUUCGGGUUGGAAACUCCUUUCGCUAGGGACGAAGCUUUUUGUGACGGUACCUAGAUAAGAAGCACCGGCUAACUACGUG